rnacentral:sRNA from 1 species
GAAGAAGGCACUCAUUCUCGUAGGAUGGCGCAUGGGCAAGGCGGUGUGACCGCCGGGCAAUUGCUCCCAUGCGCCGAACGCACAGGCUCCCUCGGGGGCCUUUUUUGUUGCCUCAGA